AGAGCGAACGCUGGCGGCAGGCCUAACACAUGCAAGUCGAGCGCCCGUAGCAAUACGGGAGCGGCAGACGGGAUAGUAACACGUGGGAACGCGCCCUUCGGUUCGGAAUAACUCAGGGAAACUUGAGCUAAUACCGGAUACGCCCUUACGGGGAAAGAUUUAUUGCCGAAGGAACGGCCCGCGUCCGAUUAGCUAGCUGGUGAGGUAAUGGCUCACCAAGGCGACGAUCGGUAGCUGGUCUGAGAGGAUGACCAGCAUCACUGGGACUGAGACACGGCCCAGACUCCUACGGGAGGCAGCAGUGGGGAAUAUUGGACAAUGGGCGCAAGCCUGAUCCAGCCAUGCCGCGUGGAUGAUGAAGGCCUUAGGGUUGUAAAGUCCUUUUAACGGGGAAGAUAAUGACGGUACCCGUAGAAUAAGCCCCGGCUAACUUCGUGCCAGCAGCCGC
rnacentral:rRNA from 1 species